rfam:Triticum aestivum genome assembly, contig: Triticum_aestivum_CS42_TGACv1_scaffold_180171_2DS
AUACUACUUUCUUCGUUCAAAAUACUUGUCAUUAAAAUAAAUAAAAAGAGAUCUAUCUAGAAUUAAUAUACGUCUAAAUGCAUCCCUUUUAUUCAUUUUGAUGACAAGUAUUUCCGGACGGAGGGAGUACUUU